rnacentral:tRNA from 1 species
GCCUCCUUAGCUCAGCUGGAGAGCAACUGACUUGUAAUCAGUAGGUCGCUGGUUCGAUUCCGGCAGGGGGCU